rnacentral:rRNA from 1 species
UACGUAGGGUGCAAGCGUUAAUCGGAAUUACUGGGCGUAAAGCGUACGCAGGCGGCUAUGUAAGACAGGUGUGAAAGCCCCGGGCUUAACCUGGGAACUGCGUUUGAAACUGGGAGACUUGAGUGUGGCAGAGGGGGGUGGAAUUCCACGUGUAGCAGUGAAAUGCGUAGAUAUCGAGAGGAACACCAGUGGCGAAGGCGAGUCCCUGGACAACUCCUGACACUAAGGCACGAAAGCUAGGGGAGCAAACAGG